UUUCCUUAAAAUGACUAGCUGUGCAAUUAGUGGUGGAUUAGUUAUUAAGUUAUUUAUUUGAAUUGAUAUCUAUCUAAUACUAAAAGGGUUAUAUAAGAAGUAGGGAGGCUGUCCACGUCAGCAAUUAAUUCAAGCCAAUAAAAACACUUUAUUCUGCCACGUCAUAACAGCCUCAAGUCGACAAGUAUAAAAAUCUGAUAACAUCUCUGGACCAAUAAUAAUUUUCAGUGGCCCACUUGAACCCCAUCUCAGAAAAACCUAAACUCUAAUAACAAACAAUAAUUAUCCGUCAAUUUUUUUUCUUCGUCGUUUGGAGGACUCACUGCAAUUCACCGUUAUCACACACAACCCACACUUCCUCAUUCAAUUAUUUUCUUAACUCAUUCCUUGAUGGUUUCGUUUCAACUUCCGCUGUUUCUCCUCCUUUAUAAUUGAAUGACGACGACGUAGUUCACCUUAAAGUAGGCCAGAUUCUUCCGGAUCCGUGACAAAGCGUCGGUGAGGGAUUCAGGUCGCGCCAUGGAGCUCCGAUCGACGAGCUCUGCCAAUGGGCGGCGUUGUGAUAAGAAGUCGCGGAUCGAGGUGGAUAGGCGUGAGAAGAAGGUAUGGAAGGCGGGAGUGUUGAUUGGUGGCUGAGAUUGAACAGCUUGCUGAUUGGUGACAGGGAGCAGUGGUGGAGUGGACAUGGCGGUGGCGCGUGAGGUUAGGUACGACUGAUUUGGGCGAGAGGUUUGGAUCUUAAGAUUGGAAAACAAAGAAGUGCAACUGGUGGAUCAGAUCUGAGAGAGAAGCCAUGAAAGAAGAAUAGAAGAGAGGUGGUGAAUGUGAGCGUGCGAGGAAAGGGUGUGAUGAGGAUGAUGUCUGUGUGAGAGAGAAAAAAAAGCCAAAGAGUGUUCUGUCUCAAUACAUAAGGUUGCGCCGGCCAAUACCUUCAAGUCACGGGUUCGACAUUUCCGUUUGCUUUUUUUUUGGAGAUCCUUAUACCUUUGUUAAUCAAACUAGACAUGGCAAAUUAAAUACCAAACCAAAUUACAAAAGUAAACCAAAAAUAUGAAUAACUAUUUUUUAUAUUUCUAACAUCCAAAAUAUUUGGAGUUAAAAAUCAAAUGAAUACUAAAAAAUAUAAUUUAGAUUUAAAACUAUUUUAAAACUAAAAUAUUUAAUUUACCUAUUUUCAAAUUAUUUGGUGUAUUUAAAAUAAUUGAAAUAAUCUGAUUUAUUUCUCUUUUUAUUUGAACCAUCCAAACUAUUCAAUAUUUAUAAAAUAUAUCAAAUAUAUCUAAAUUAUUAUUUAUGAAGUGAUUUUUAAUAUUCGAUCUCUCAUGUUAAAAGUUAGAGUGACUAAUAUCUAUGUUACUCUUAAUAAAUAAUUAAUACUAUCUAUUAUGUUAGACAUUGUCAAAAAAUAAAAACAAAUUUAAAAAUAGAGAAAAUGGCUAGGAUAGCAUUAAAUUUUUUUUUUGUCACAAAUAUACCCUCUAAGAAUAAAAAUGACCAAAAUAGCACUUAAUGUUUUAUCAAAAGAGAUACAUAUACACUUAUAUCUCAAUGGUAAAUUAAUUUAGACAUUAGGGUUUAGAGUUAAGGGGUGGAGUUUAGGGUUUAGGGUUUAGAGUUUAGGUUUUAGGGUUUAGAGUUGGGGAAUGGGGUUUUGGGAUAAGAUUUCAAAUUUUGAAAAAUUAAAAAAAAAUAAAAUUUUCAAAAAUAAAAUGAUAUUUUGGUCAUUUUAGUUUUUGAGAGCUAUUUUUGUGACAGAAACUUAGAAAUGUCAUAUUUUGGAGAUUUGCCCUUAAAAAUAAAAAUAUAAUUAUUCUAUAUACUGUGUUAUUAUCAAGGCAAAUCAAAGCUAUAGAAAAACAAAAAAACUCUCCAAACAUCUUUCUAUUUUUUAUUCAUGUCUUAAUAAUUUUUUAUAUUACGUCUUCAAAUUAAUUCUUCCGCCAAAGUCUAUCCUCAUCAAUUAAUUCAUAAACUGGAAAAAUCGGUGUACAACAUAUAAUAAAAUCUUAAUUUAAAUAAACAAUGAAAUUUGAUUUUUUCAUAGCUAAUCAUCUAAAAUUAAAAUAUUUAAAAGCAUUUUCCGCGCGUAGCGCGGACAAAGAUUCUAGUAGUUCUAAUAUUUUAAAGAUUUACGCCACAUAGGCAUAUACUUUAAAUAUAUUGCUUAUAUUUUCAUUUAACUCUAGUGAAAUUACAAAUAAAACAAAAUUUAAAAUAUUUAGUGAAAGUAAGAAAAAAUGAUUAAGAUGAAUAUUUUUUGUAAUUUUCUUGUAUUAAUGCGAAAAGAAUAUAAAUCUUAAGAUAUUUCAAUAAAUAUCUGACGACAUAUAUAUCUAUAAAUAUAGAUAUAUAUAAUUAAUAAACAAAAUAUAUUUGUUCAUUCUAUAUUAUAUCAUUCUAGCAUUUAGCACCAAAGCUAGGAAACUUAAAACCAGAAGGACAUUGUUUAUCGAUAUUUAAGAAGAAGAUCUCCUCCACUGAAAACAAACAUAAAAUAAACUAGAAAAUGAUUACAAAUCAUAAAGAAAAUGCAUAUAUCAAGGAGCUACAAAGUGAAGAUCAGAAAUAUAAAUAAAUGAGAAAGAAACAAUUUUAUUGACAUCGAAUGGACAAAAGGUGGAAUAAGAAGGGACCAUCGUCUCCAUUUUCAGAAGUCCUUUGGUGUUUGUGGUAUCACUUAAUAAAAAUAAAUUUGAUCCCAAAUACUUACAUUAAGGUCUUGGUCCUGCGGUAGUCUUUGGAUCAACUUUCUUUACUAAUACUAAAGUACAUAUGAUUUGAGUGGACGCAACUAAAAUAGCAUCUCAGGGACUAACACGUCAAACGUAACAAAUAUAAUUAGUGCAUCAGUAAUUUGAAAUUCUAGUCUAAAUAAGAUGAAACUUGGAGGCUGGAGCGACAAAUAAAAGAUAUGUGCUAGUCUAUUUUUUCUGUUGACUGAGCCCUCCUUUUAUAGUUGGGAAGUGUUCCGACGACAAAAGAUAGUUCGUCGUCCUUGUUGUCAAGGUUAUAUAUUCAUUUUAUCGGGUUAAGUCAUAUAUUCCCUGUAACAUAGAUGCAGCUCGCUUCAUCCUAAAGCAUUAUAUACCGUUUAAGCACUGUAAUGACCCACCUCCACUAUCCCCACUAUCUCCACCAUCUCCACCAUCCCCACCACUCCCACCAUCUCCACCAUCCCCAACUUCUUUAAAGAGAAAGAGAGAGAGGAGAGGAGAGAGAGAGAGAAAGAGAGAGAAAGCUCACCUGAGCUCGUCGCCGGAGCAACCGUGUGCCGUGAUCACGUUCAGCUUGCCACCCCCGAUAAACGCCCUAGGCCAUCAUCGUGUUCCUCUCGUCGAGACGAAGCCGUAGACACCAACCACGCCUCAAACGGAGCCCGGACGAAGCCGCACGCGCCUCCCGAAGAUUCGCCCCGGCGCGCGCGUGAAACGCACGCGCCACCGCCUUCCGCCGGAGCCACCGCGGAGAGAGAUGAUGUCUGUGUGAGAGAGAAAAAAAAGCCAAAGAGUGUUCUGUCUCAAUACAUAAGGUUGCGCCGGCCAAUACCUUCAAGUCACGGGUUCGACAUUUCCGUUUGCUUUUUUUUUGGAGAUCCUUAUACCUUUGUUAAUCAAACUAGACAUGGCAAAUUAAAUACCAAACCAAAUUACAAAAGUAAACCAAAAAUAUGAAUAACUAUUUUUUAUAUUUCUAACAUCCAAAAUAUUUGGAGUUAAAAAUCAAAUGAAUA